rnacentral:rRNA from 1 species
GACGAACGCUGGCGGCGUGCUUAACACAUGCAAGUCGAACGGAAAGGCCCUGCUUUUGUGGGGUGCUCGAGUGGCGAACGGGUGAGUAACACGUGAGUAACCUGCCCCUGACUUUGGGAUAACUUCUGGAAACUGGGGCUAAUACCGGAUAGGAGCUCCUGCUGCAUGUUGGUCGUUGGAAAGUUUCGGCGGUUGGGGAUGGACUCGCGGCUUAUCAGCUUGUUGGUGGGGUAGUGGCUUACCAAGGCUUUGACGGGUAGCCGGCCUGAGAGGGUGACCGGCCACAUUGGGACUGAGAGACGGCCCAGACUCCUACGGGAGGCAGCAGUGGGGAAUAUUGCACAAUGGGCGGAAGCCUGAUGCAGCAACGCCGCGUGCGGGAUGACGGCCUUCGGGUUGUAAACCGCUUUCGCCUGUGACGAAGCGUGAGUGACGGUAACGGGUAAAGAAGCACCGGCUAACUACGUG